GGCAUAAUAUAUCCGUGAAAAGAUUGAGACAGACGGGCCUAGAGGCACGGGGACAGACUUCUCGAAACCAGAGCAAAUAAUUUGAACUACGGAAUAGAAGUAUUAAGAGGGUGGGUACCGAUUUGAAAGAGACAGUAAAGAGAGUAAUAGUUUACUGGGGCGUCUUGCUCUGCACUUAAUGGAAAAUUUUGUUCACUAUCGAAGAGCCAAGAAACAUUGCACUUCUUGUAGUUUAAGUAACUUGUGUAACUAACAUUUUAAAUUUUAGUCCUGGGUGUGGCGUUUCUAAACGUGUUGGGGUUUUCAUAUUUUUGUACCUGUGAAUGCAAAAUAUGAAGAGAUUAUUUCUUGGCCGCUGGGGUUUUGAUAUAAUUUUUGCCGAGCUUGUCUUUGACCAUUAUUCUACGUUCAUUUAGUCCUGGGUCACAAAUAAUGGGCAUUGCGCCAUAUACGUCAAAUAGUGGUAAACGGGGAAUAACAGUAAAAACUUGAACAGGAAAUCGAUUUAUAAGGGAAGCAGACAUUGAAACCAUUGAAGUACGUAGGACGAAAAUAAGAAAUACUAAAGAACUGAUCAAUUGACUUCAGAAAGAAAGGAGAACACGCCCCCAUCUACAUCAACAGAACUGAGGUUGAGAGGGUGAAGUGUCAAGUUUCUCAGUGACAGUAACCGACAACCUGUCUUGGACUUCCCACAUAAAUGUGACAGUCAAGAAGACAUGACAAUGCCUGUUCUUCCUCUGGUGGCUCAGGAAAUUUGGCAUGUCCAUGAGGACCCUCACCAACAUUUACAGAUGCGCCAUUGAAAGCAUACUGUUCGGGUGGAUAAUGGCCUGGUAUGGCAACUGCUUUGCCUAGGACUGUAAGAAACUACAGAACGUUGUGUCCGCAGCCCACACAAUCGUGGAAGCCAACCUUCUAGCCAUAGACUGUGCUUGUACAGCUUGUUGCUGCAGGAAGGCUGCCAACAUUAUCAAAGACCCAUCGUAACUUGGUAAUGAUCUCCUGUAUCUUCUGCCUGAAGAGGUUGUAGAAGUUUGAGCACAUGCACCAACAGGCUCAGGAACAGCUGCUUCCUAGCUGUUAUAAGACUGAAUGGACUCUCGAGCCUCAUAACACUGAUCUUGCCAGUGUUGACUUCGCCUAGUGCACACCCUGUGCAGUGUAACCUGUUUGCUUCAAGUUUUGUUUUUCAGCCUUUGAUCUGUACAUCCUUGCUUACUAUGAUCUGCCUGUACUGCUCGUAAAACUUCUCACUGUACUCUGGUACAUGUCACAAUAAAUCAAUAAAUUAAUCAAUCACUUUUUUUAGCAAA